GGUGGGAAGGUUAAUGUAGUGCAGCCUUAUCGCCUUUGGGCAAUUCUGCCAACUUGGAAUAGUUUUGUGUCUCUUCUCUGAAAAGGAAAUGUGCUUUGCCAUAGUGAUAAGGAGGAUAGUAAAGAGGUCAAUCCAGGGAGAUGAGGAUGCCUACCAAUGCUCCCUGUUCUACCCGGGAUUAUUAUGAAUCUAGGAAGUGAGAGGCUACAGUUAAUUUUAGUUCUGAGU
rnacentral:lncRNA from 1 species